UGAGGAAUAUUGGACAAUGGGCGCAAGCCUGAUCCAGCUAUGCCGCGUGCAGGAAGAAGCAUCUAUGGUGUGUAAACUGCUUUUGUACGGGAAGAAACACUCCUUCGUGAAGGAGCUUGACGGUACUGUAAGAAUAAGGAUCGGCUAACUCCGUGCCAGCAGCCGCGGUAAUACGGAGGAUCCAAGCGUUAUCCGGAAUCAUUGGGUUUAAAGGGUCCGUAGGCGGUUUAGUAAGUCAGUGGUGAAAGCCCAUCGCUCAACGAUGGAACGGCCAUUGAUACUGCUAGACUUGAAUUAUUAGGAAGUAACUAGAAUAUGUAGUGUAGCGGUGAAAUGCUUAGAUAUUACAUGGAAUACCAAUUGCGAAGGCAGGUUACUACUAAUGGAUUGACGCUGAUGGACGAAAGCGUGGGGAGCGAACA
rnacentral:rRNA from 1 species